AGCAGAUUCUCCAAGAUGGCGGAGGUCCGCGGGCUGGGGGGCCGGAAGCACUUGGAGCACAAAUGUGACGUCACUGACUGUGACGUCAGCGCGGCUGCGAGCAGACUCUCCAAGAUGGCGGAGGUGAGCGGGCGGCGGAGCAGGAGUCACUUGGAGCCCGGCUGCACAAGCCGAGUCGCCGGCGAAGACUCAAGAGUCAAAGAUGUCCCUAUGUCUCAACAUAUUCGGAGGUCUCCAGCAAGACCCGAGGACCCGGACGAUGACUUGCUUCCUGGGGACAUGAAUGACAACUGGGGAAUAGCGGCCAGCCUCACCCCCUCAGCAGAAGAAGACAUUCAGGAUUUACAGGAGGCGGAGGAGGAGGCAAAGGCCCAACCUGUCCAGAUCCUCCUGACCAAUGAGGACCAGCAUAGCUUUGAGCUGGAUGCCGCCGCCCUGGAGAGAAUCCUGCUGCAGGACCAUGUGAAGGACCUCAAUGUGGUGGUGGUGUCGGUGGCCGGUGCCUUCCGCAAAGGCAAAUCCUUCCUGCUGGACUUCAUGCUGCGCUACAUGCACAAUCAGCAAAGUGAGGCGUGGAUCGGCGGCGACGACGAGCCCUUGACCGGCUUCACCUGGAGAGGAGGAUGCGAGAGGGAGACCACAGGGAUUCAGGUCUGGAGCGAAGUCUUCGUGGUGGACAGGCCGGACGGCAGCCAAGUGGCCGUCCUCCUGGUGGACACCCAGGGAGCCUUUGACAGCCAGUCCACCAUCAAGGACUGUGCCACAGUCUUUGCCCUCAGCACCAUGACCAGCUCCAUGCAGGUGUACAAUCUCUCGCAGAACAUUCAAGAGGACGACCUUCAGCAUCUUCAGCUGUUCACGGAGUACGGCCGCCUCGCCAUGGAGGAGAUCUACCUGAAACCUUUCCAGUCCCUGAUGUUUCUGAUCCGUGACUGGAGUUUCCCCUACGAACACAACUACGGCCCGGAAGGAGGCUACGACUUUCUUGAAAAACGUCUUCAGGUCAAGCAGCACCAACACCAGGAGUUGCAGAACGUCCGCAAGCACAUCCACUCCUGCUUCUCCAACAUCGGCUGCUUCCUGCUGCCUCACCCCGGCCUCAAUGUGUCCACCAACCGUUACUUUGACGGCCGGCUCAGAGAAAUCGACGGGGACUUCAAGGAGCAGUUGUCCCGGCUGGUGCCUCUCCUCCUGGCGCCGGAGCGACUUGUGGAGAAGGAGAUCGGAGGCAACAAGGUCACAUGUCGAGAUCUUGUGGAAUACUUCAAGGCUUACAUAAAGAUCUACCAGGGCGAGGAGCUGCCUCAUCCAAAGUCCAUGCUGCAGGCCACGGCUGAAGCAAACAAUCUGACUGCUGUCGCCGGAGCCAAAGACAUGUACAGCAAGAACAUGGAACAGGUGUGUGGCGGCGACCAGCCCUACAUGGCCCCCGCUGAUCUGGAGCGCUGCCACGAGGAGUUCCGUGAGACCUCUGUGCGCUACUUCCGCUCGGUGAAGAAGAUGGGCGGCGAGGAGUUCUGCCAGCGCUACCAGAGCCAGCUGGAGGCGGAGCUGGACGAGGCCUUGGGCAACUUCUGCAAGCACAACGAGGGCAAGAACAUCUUCUACGCCGCCCGCACGCCCGCCACGCUCUUCGCCGUCAUGUUAGUGGCCUACGUGGUGUCGGGCGUGACGGGCCUGCUGGGCCUGAGCACGCUGGCGACGCUGGCCAACCUGCUCAUGGGCCUGGCACUGAUGUCGCUCUGCGUCUGGGCCUACGUCAAGUAUUCUGGAGAGUUCCGUGAGGUGGGGACGAUUAUAGACCUGGUGGCGGAGACGCUGUGGGAACAGGUGGUCAAGCCGCUGAGUGAACAUUACGUGGAAGACAAGGUGAGGCAGACGGUGGUCAACUCUCUGAAAGCCAGCCUGACAGAAGGCAGCUCGCAGCAACACGCCAAGUUAAAGACGCACUGACGCACUUCCUGUCGUCAACAACAACACCAAAGCUGACCUCCCUCGCUGUGGCCUUUUUGCCAAAAACAACAACAUCAUGCCUUCCACUUCUUCACAGCGUUCUUGGUUAAAAAAAAAGCACAAUCAGGAAGUUCGAAUGUGAAUUGUUUGGACAGUAUUACUGAGAAUCACAUGUAAAAAUAGGAAGUGUCACUCAAACUGUAACAAGACGCCAUAUUGCUUUCAUUUUUACAACAGCGUGCUAAGUUAAGCGCUAAUAACCUUUAAUGUCGGACUUAACAUCUUUACUACUUAGUCGACUUCUUCAUAGGAACACUGACUUUUCACCAUUUUUAUUUAGCUUAAAGACAAAACUGAAUUAGCUUAGCAUGACGGUUAACCAUUUUUCAUAGAGUCCCAAAAUAUAUUUUUGUUUUCAUAAAAUGAAAACAGUUUAGCUUGCUGUUAGUGUGAAGGCGGAACAAAAUGAUCUUAGCUAACGUCCAAAUGCCAUUUCUCGCUUCCAAAAGAGGUUUAUAAGUACAAAGUUAUGUUUAAAAGCCGACUAUGACAUUAUGUGGUACAACUGGUGAUUUUUAAAUGCUAACGUUUGCUACUUCCGAUCUCCAGGCUAAUCAAAGCUAAUUUCCCAGCCAGUUCCUGCCCGUUUAACUUUUCAUCGCCAUAAAAAUAUUUUCUAAAAAUGAAAUGUCUAACUCAACGAAACAACGUAAAGACUGUUUUCUCUCCCUUUAGUCGUCGCACUUUAACAUCGAUAAUACAUAGUUUGUGUACUUUAUAGAAACGCCUUGAUACAUUAGCUUAGCUUGAAGGCUAACCUUUUUUUAUAAAGUUUAGUUCCAAAAGAUCUUUUUGUUUUCAUAAAAUAAUUGUAGGUAUUAAAUAGUUUAAGUGAAAGCAGGCUAUUAUUGGCUUAGUAGUGAUCUUUAGGAGCUGUUUAACGCUAGCAGUUGCUAAUCAAAACACAUUUGCUCCAGUCUUCGACCCACAAAAACUUUUAUUCUUAACACAAAUUUUAUGUUACGUGAACACUAUUUUUGUGCUUUAAUCACCACACUUGUUUAACAUCUAUAGUACUUAAAGCAACAUAAAAAUACUUAUUGCUGACUUGACAGUUUAGCUUGCUGUUAGUGUGAAGGCGGAACAAAAUGAUCUUAGCUAACGUCCAAAGGCCAUUUUUCGCUUCCAAAAGAGGUUUAUAAGUACAAAGUUAUGUUUAAAAGCCGACUAUGACAUUAUGUGGUACAACUGGUGAUUUUUAAAUGCUAACGUUUGCUACUUCCGGUCUCCAUGCUAAUCAAAGCUAAUUUCCUAGCCUGUUCCCGCCCGUUUAAAUUUUCACCGCCAUAAAAAUAUUUUCUAAAAAUGAAAUGUCUAACUCAACGAAACAACGUGAAGACUGUUUUCUCCCUUUAGUCGUCGCACUUCUUUAACAUCGAUAAUACAUAGUUUGUGUACUUUAUAGAAACGCCUUGAUACAUUAGCUUAGCUUGAAGGCUAACCUUUUUUUAUAAAGUUUAGUCCCAAAAGAUCUUUUUGUUUUCAUAAAAUAAUUGUAGGUAUUAAAUAGUUUAAGCGAAAGCAGGCUAUUAUUGGCUUAGUAGUGAUCUUUAGGAGCUGUUUAACGCUAGCAGUUGCUAAUCAAAACACAUUUGCUCCAGUCUUCGACCCACAAAAAGUUUUAUUCUUAACACAAAUUUUAUGUUACGUGAACACUAUUUUUGUGCUUUAAUCACCACACUUGUUUAACAUCUAUAGUACUUAAAGCAACAUAGAAAUACUUAUUGCUAACUUGACAGUUUAGCUUGCUGUUAGUGUGAAGGCGGAACAAAAUGAUCUUAGCUAACUUCCAAAUGCCAUUUCUCGCUUCCAAAAGAGGUUUAUAAGUACAAAGUUGUGUGUUUAAAAGCCGACUAUGACAUUAUGUGGUACAACUGGUGAUUUUUAAAUGCUAACGUUUGCUACUUCCGAUCUCCAUGCUCAUCAAAGCUAAUUUCCUAGCCUGUUCCCGCCCGUUUAAAUUUUCACCGCCAUAAAAAUAUUUUCUAAAAAUGAAAUGUCUAACUCAACGAAACAACGUGAAGACUGUUUUCUCCCUUUAGUCAUCGCACUUCUUUAACAUCGAUAAUACAUAGUUUGUGUACUUUAUAGAAACGCCUUGAUAAAUUAGCUUAGCUUGAAGGCUAACCUUUUUUUAUAAAGUUUAGUCCCAAAAGAUCUUUUUGUUUUCAUAAAAUAAUUGUAGGUAUUAAAUAGUUUAAGCGAAAGCAGGCUAUUAUUGGCUUAGUAGUUAUCUUUAGGAGCUGUUUAACGCUAGCAGUUGCUAAUCAAAACACAUUUGCUCCAGUCUUCGACCCACAAAAAGUUUUAUUCUUAACACAAAUUUUAUGUUACGUGAACACUAUUUUUGUGCUUUAAUCACCACACUUGUUUAACAUCUAUAGUACUUAAAGCAACAUAGAAAUACUUAUUGCUAACUUGACAGUUUAGCUUUCUGUUAGUGUGAAGGCGGAACAAAAUGAUCUUAGCUAACGUCCAAAUGCCAUUUCUCGCUUCCAAAAGAGGUUUAUAAGUACAAAGUUGUGUGUUUAAAAGCCGACUAUGACAUUAUGUGGUACAACUGGUGAUCUUUAAGUGCUAACGUUUGCUACUUCCGGUCUCCAUGCUCAUCAAAGCUAAUUUCCUAGCCUGUUCCCGCCCGUUUAACUUUUCACCGCCAUAAAAAUAUUUUCUAAAAAUGAAAUGUCUAACUCAACAAAACAACGUGAAGACUGUUUUCUCUCCCUUUAGUCGUCGGACUUAUUUAACAUCGAUAAUACAUAGUUUGUAUACUUUAUAGAAACGCUUUGAUAAGUUAGCUUAGCUUGAAGGCUAACCUUUUUUCAUAAAGUUUAGUCCCAAAAUAGAUUUUUGUUUUCAUAAAAUUAUAGAUAUAAAAUAGUUUAAGCGAAAGCAGGCUAUUAUUGGCUUAGUAGUGAUCUUUAGGAGCUGUUUAACGCUAGCAGUUGCUAAUCAAAACACAUUUGCUCCAGUCUUCGACCCACAAAAAGUUUUAUUCUUAACACAAAUUUUAUGUUACGUGAACACUAUUUUUGUGCUUUAAUCACCACACUUGUUUAACAUCUAUAGUACUUAAAGCAACAUAGAAAUACUUAUUGCUAACUUGACAGUUUAGCUUGCUGUUAGUGUGAAGGCGGAACAAAAUGAUCUUAGCUAACUUCCGAAUGCCAUUUCUCGCUUCCAAAAGAGGUUUAUAAGUACAAAGUUGUGUGUUUAAAAGCCGACUCUGACAUUAUGUGGUACAAUUGGUGAUCUUUAAGUGCUAACGUUUGCUACUUCCGGUCUCCAUGCUAAUCAAAGCUAAUUUCCUAGCCUGUUCCCGCCUGUUUAAAUUUUCACCACCAUAAAAAUAUUUUCUAAAAAUGAAAUGUCUAACUCAACGAAACAACGUAAAGACUGUUUUCUCUCCCUUUAGUCGUCGCACUUUAACAUUGAUAAUACAUAGUUUGUAUACGUUAUAGAAACGCCUUGAUACAUUAGCUUAGCUUGAAAGCUAACCUUUUUUUUUUUUUAAAUGACUCGUUAUGUCUAAUGUUGCGUUCAAAUGUCAGUUCUUGCUUCAUAAAAUGGUUUAUGGGUCAUUGCUCGUUUAAAAGCAGACUACGGUAGAAGUAGUAAGCCUCAAGUGCUGCCUUAAGCUAGCACUUUCUACUUCCUGUCCGAAUGCUCAUCAAAGAAAAUUAACUCGAGACUCCAACUAAGGACCUUUUGACUUUGCAGCCUCCGAAAAACGGUGUAUUUCUUAAAAGUCUGACGUCAACACGAAGACUGUUUUCGCCCGCUUGUUGAUUCUCAGGAGCUAUUAGACGCACGCUGUUUAUUCCCUUUUCCGUGACUGCAGGUGGAACUUGGGUAUUGAAAUAACCUUUACGCGUUUUAGUUCCCUUCUCCGUGACUGCAGGUGGAACUUGGAUAUUUAAAUAGCCUUUACGCGUUUUAGUUCCCUUCUCCGUGACUGCAGGUGGAACUUGGAUGUUGAAAUAGCCUUUACGCGUUUUAGUUCCCUUCUCGGUGACUGCAGGUGGAACUUGGGUAUUGAAAUAGCCUUUACGCGUUUUAGUUCCCUACUUCGUGACUGCAGGUGGAACUUGGAUAUUUAAAUAACCUUUACGCGUUUUAGUUCCCUUUUCGGUGACUGCAGGUGGAACUUGGAUAUUUAAAUAACCUUUACGCGUUUUAGUUCCCUUCUCGGUGACUGCAGGUGGAACUUGGGUAUUGAAAUAGCCUUUACGCGUUUUAGUUCCCUACUUCGUGACUGCAGGUGGAACUUGGAUAUUUAAAUAACCUUUACGCGUUUUAGUUCCCUUCUCGGUGACUGCAGGUGGAACUUGGGUAUUGAAAUAGCCUUUACGCGUUUUAGUUCCCUACUUCGUGACUGCAGGUGGAACUUGGAUAUUUAAAUAGCCUUUUCGCGUUUUAGAGCCAAUCAAGGUUUGUUUGGGGUCAAUUAAAAACUGUUGCUGUAGCGAACUUUCUUUGGAACUGUUCAUAGACCGUCCUGUUUGGGAGGACGAUAGAAACAUGAUUAUCAGGUUGAUUUGUGUGGAAUAUGCCUGGCCACCUUUUUAAGAACAUUUGUGGUAUUUUAUUUUUGAAUAAAGUGUUUACCGUAAGAAUAAAAUCAUACAAGUCA